GUGUGCUUUAGGUCUUCUGAAGGGAAGCAGAUUCUUUCCUUUGUUCACGUUCCUAUGGCUGUUGCAUUUGAAACCCCUUGUUUCUGGCACAAACUGGAUUCAGUAGGUAGGCAGCUGACUGGAAGAACACAGUGCCAGCACCACCAGCCGGAUAAGAUCUGAGGAUAAGAUCUGAGAAAAAGAGGCAAAGAAGGAAAAAAUAUUUACAAUACAGAUAAGUACUUCUUAAGAAGAAUAGUGAAGAGAUUUAUGACAAAAGAUGCAUGUAGCUAGCCUGGAGCCAUCAACACA